rnacentral:tmRNA from 1 species
GGGGACGAUUUUGGUUUCGACGGGGAUUUAAGCAAAAUAUGCAAAGCAUGUGGUGGAUGCUUGAGCCACCUUAAAAUCAAGCGAGCGAAUAAACGCAGAAAACAAUAACAAUGUUGUUUCAAUGAACAGAGUAGCUUGCGCUGCCUAACUUGAAAUGACGACCUGAUUGAACAUUUUCAAUCUGCUCACCUUAAAUCUUGCCAGUUUAAGAAUUGGGUAUCAUCUUCGGCAAAACUUUGUUUCGAGUUUCCUUUGUAGAAGCAAAAAAUUUUAAAGGAUAGUUUUUAAAACUUGUUUAUGGGUUAAUUAAAAACGAAUUUCAAGCAUAAACUAAACAUGUAGAAAAGUAUUUUGUUUUGUUUUCGGACGAGGGUUCAAUUCCCUCCGUCUCCACCA